rnacentral:rRNA from 1 species
AACGAACGCUGGCGGCAUGCCUAACACAUGCAAGUCGAACGAGACCUUCGGGUCUAGUGGCGCACGGGUGCGUAACGCGUGGGAACCUGCCCUUAGGUUCGGAAUAACUCCCCGAAAGGGGUGCUAAUACCGGAUAAUGUCUUCGGACCAAAGAUUUAUCGCCUUUGGAUGGGCCCGGGUUGGAUUAGCUAGUUGGUAGGGUAAAAGCCUACCAAGGCGACGAUCCAUAGCUGGUCUGAGAGGAUGAUCAGCCACCCUGGGACUGAGACACGGCCCAGACUCCUACGGGAGGCAGCAGUGGGGAAUAUUGGACAAUGGGCGAAAGCCUGAUCCAGCAAUGCCGCGUGAGUGAUGAAGGCCUUAGGGUUGUAAAGCUCUUUUACCCGGGAUGAUAAUGACAGUACCGGGAGAAUAAGCUCCGGCUAACUCCGUG